rnacentral:ncRNA from 1 species
UUCAUAACUGCAUAAAGCUUUCGUAUAAUCCUGGGAAUUGGCUCGGGAGUUUCUACAAGGUCACCGUAAUGAUCUGGCUACGAUUGGGGAAGUCUUAUAC